rnacentral:lncRNA from 1 species
CUGUGUUCUCUGACUCAAUGUCAUUAUCAUUUGUCAAUCAUUAAAUCAUCAUUUCUUCCCAAACCACUACGUUCCCCAAUGGACCUAUUCAUUCUUUAGUAGUGGUAUGGGUUAAACCAAGGAUGUAAAUACACCUGGCCACCUUGAACAUGUAUAUGAGUAAACCUUUUUAAUUUAUUGAUGAUGUCAAAACAAGAUUUAACAAUUUAUUUUGA